rnacentral:rRNA from 1 species
GACGAACGCUGGCGGCGUGCCUAAUACAUGCAAGUCGAACGCAGUGGGGACGGGUGAGUAACACGUUGGUAACCUCCCAUCAGAGGGGAUAACACUUGGAUACCGGUGCUAAACCGAUCCUGAUGGAUGGACCCGCGGUACAUUACCUAGUGGGUGUGGUAACGGCUCACCAAGGCCACGAUGCAUAGCCGACCUGAGAGGGUGAUAGGCCACACUGGGACUGAGACACGGCCCAGACUCCUACGGGAGGCAGCAGUAGGGAAUCUUCGGCAAUGGACGAAAGUCUGACCGAGCAACGCCGCGUGAGUGAAGAAGGUUUUCGGAUCGUAAAACUCUGUUGUUAGAGAAGCGGUAUCUAACCAGAAAGCCACGGCUAACUACGAGCCAGCAGCCGCGGUAAUAC